GAUGUUGUUCUCGCGAGAGUUCGUUCAGGAAGUGAAAAACGAAGCGCUGCAUGUUGUUUGGAUAGAGUUGGAUAACAACACACAUGGCGGGACGGCUGAAGAAACAGGCGAAAGAUGCUGUAAAGAUCAUAGGAUGUGGCAGUGCACUGUUCCUGGGAUACCUCACAGCCUCAGGGGAUGAGUGUUUUUAUGCCAGUGCACUCAUGCCAGUUCUGCAGAGGUUUGUGGGAGGAGAGACGGCUCAUCUCAUGGCUGUCCGAUUGAUUGGUCUUGGACUUGUGCCUCGCAACAACUAUAAGGACCCGACCUCACUGGAAGUGCAUGUGAUGGGUCGUAAGUUCCAGAACCCAGUUGGUAUGGCAGCAGGCUUUGACAAGCACGGUGAGGCAGUGGAUGGCCUCUAUAGACUUGGCUUUGGUUUCGUGGAGGUGGGAACUGUCACACCAAAACCACAGGAUGGAAACCCAAAACCACGUGUGUUCAGACUGGAGUCAGACCAGGCUAUUAUUAACAGAUAUGGAUUCAACAGUUGUGGCCUUUCUGCAGUACAUGAAAGGUUAAAAGCCAGAGAGCAUGUUCAAUCAGAGCUAACAAAAGCAGGCAAACCUCUUGGCAUCAAUCUUGGAAAGAACAAGCUUUCGCCAGAUGCAGUGUCGGAUUAUGUGGAAGGAGUACGGACACUGGGUCCUCUUGCUGACUACCUUGUAGUAAACGUGAGCAGCCCCAACACUCCUGGCCUUCGAGAUCUACAGGGCAAGGAAGAACUGCGCCACCUUCUGGACAAGGUGGUUAAAGAGCGUGAUUCAUUGCGAAUCGAGAAUCGACCGCCGGUGCUGGUGAAAAUUGCCCCAGAUCUUACUAUACAGGACAAGCAAGACAUAGCUGAGGUCAUCAUGGAGGUUGGUGUUGAUGGUGUAAUGGUUUCCAACACCACUGUUUCCAGGCCAGACACUCUAAAAGACCCCAAUAGAGUUGAGACUGGGGGACUCAGUGGUCAACCUCUUAAAGAGCUUUCCACUCAGACAGUGCGAGAGAUGUACACAUUAACACAAGUUUGUAGGGAAGCUGCCAAUUGUUGGAGUGGGAGGAGUGGCCAGCGGUCAGGAUGCCAUGGAUAAGAUCCGUGCGGGAGCUUCUCUGGUGCAGCUGUACACAGCUCUAGUCUACCAGGGGCCGCCGGUGGUCAACAAGAUCAAAAGAGAACUGGAUGAUCUUCUGAAGGCACAAGGUUUUACAUGUGUUGCUGAAGCAGUAGGUGCUGAUCAUAAAACCACAGAGAAAAUGGCGACAACCACAUCAGAUGUGACUCCAUAAUGCUUAAGAAUUAGUAUUCACUGUUGGACAUGAUUGAUCUUAUUUCAAGUCUUUCAACUAUUGAUUCAAGAAAAGCUGGAACAAUAAAAUGAAUCAUGCUAUAGCCAUGCUAUGGUGAUAUGAAGAUACGCCAUGCUGUUGUUAUAAAUUAAUAUUUGUAUGUAAAAAUGCAUCCACACGAGUGGUUGACGUGAUACUUUAUAUUCCUGUGUUUAAAGGAAUAUAUGAAUUUGAAUAAAGUGCACUGCUUUGUAACACUG